GAAAACAUCGUGGUGGUCUCCUUCAGAAAUACAGACCAUCCUUUACAAAUCUCACAUUUGCUCUUCAAUGGCAUUUAACGCUGGUGGAUGUCUUCAGGUCUGAGGGAAAGAGUCAUGCGAGCAAUGAGGAAACGAAGGACAAAGACAUGGAAAUUAAGCGGCAAGCAGAUUUUUUUUUUAAAAGGGCCACACAAUUAGACAAAAUGUUAAUAUUUAUAGAAAUAGUUGAAUCAGCUCAACAACUAUAAAUAAACUCAGAUGGACAGAUUCCUGCACAAGUCAGAGAGAUGAUUUCUGGGCUUGAAUCCUGUUGCUUCAGGGCGACGACCGGUCGCCAUGAGAUGAUGGAGAUGUCACUCACAGGAAGGGUGGCAGAUAUGCACCGAGAUUCACUUUGCUACCUGGAGACCGACAGCCUCGCUGCUCGGCCAAUCAGAGGUUGUGAAAAACAGCCUCCUGCUCCUCCAUUGGUCCCCUGCUCCCCAGAGUUCAUUCCUCUAUCAAUGCCCUGUCAUUGUGUUGUCUGGCACUGCCAAAGCCAAUUAUACUGCCUCCUUUUCUUCUAUUCGGAGCUCUUUUCUCUCAUAGACCCCCUUCACACUUUUAACACCAUGAACACACACACACACACGCACACAGACUGACGCAUGCAUACCAAUCUCCUCUAGCUCCUCAGAAUGUCAUGAUGGAGUCUGAGAAUCAGGAGGACCUGAAACUCAUAGUAAUGAGACUUCUAUAUAAAUCGCUGGUAACCCUCAUAUCUGAAAACUAUUAGAAUAAAAAAAUGAUAAAUAAUGGAGGUGCAAGAUAAAUACGUCAAGUAUUUUAAGUUUUUCUCCCUACAUAGUUUUUUUCCUCAGUACCAUCUUACACCUGUUGCCUAUAUUUGUCUCGUUUAUGCUGCAAGACCAUCUGGUUUAAAGAAAAAAAAUAUAAUAGGAUGCCCUGUGAAAGUCUAGCAUAUUUGAACAUAUGAAUAUUAAUACUUUUGACAAAACUAAUAACUAAAGAAUAAAAUCUUAAAACAACAAAAAAAAAUUCCCAGACUGCCCACCUCUGGUUUUAAUUAGAAAGUGAAAAUACAGUUCAGGCUUUCAAAUUUGCAGCAGUUAAGACCGUUUAUAGAUUUCAUUGUAAGACAGGGCUGUAAAACAAA